GAGUUUGAUCAUGGCUCAGAUUGAACGCUGGCGGCAUGCCUUACACAUGCAAGUCGAACGGCAGCACGGGAGCUUGCUCCUGGGUGGCGAGUGGCGAACGGGUGAGUAAUGCAUCGGAACGUAUCCUGGAGUGGGGGAUAACGUAGCGAAAGUUAUGCUAAUACCGCAUAUUCUGUGAGCAGGAAAGCGGGGGACCUUCGGGCCUCGCGCUCUUGGAGCGGCCGAUGUCGGAUUAGCUAGUUGGUGAGGUAAAGGCUCACCAAGGCGACGAUCCGUAGCAGGUCUGAGAGGAUGAUCUGCCACACUGGAACUGAGACACGGUCCAGACUCCUACGGGAGGCGAGCAGUGGGGAAUUUUGGACAAUGGGGGCAACCCUGAUCCAGCCAUGCCGCGUGAGUG
rnacentral:rRNA from 1 species